rnacentral:rRNA from 1 species
GAUGAACGCUGGCGGCGUGCCUAAUACAUGCAAGUCGAACGGAGAUUGUAGCAAUACGGUCUUAGUGGCGAACGGGUGAGUAACGCGUUGGUAACCUGCCCCGAAGCGUGGGAUAACGGUCCGAAAGGACCACUAAUACCACAUGUGAUCCCGAGGAAUAGAUACUUGGGAUGAAAGGAGCAAUUCGCUUCGGGAGGGACCUGCGUCCCAUCAGCUAGUUGGUAGGGUAACGGCCUACCAAGGCGAUGACGGGUAGGGGACCUGAGAGGGUGGCCCCCACAAUGGAACUGAAACACGGUCCAUACACCUACGGGUGGCAGCAGUAGGGAAUAUUGGUUAAAUGUGCGAAAGCGCGAACCAGCAACGCCGCGUGUGCGAUGAAGGCCUUCGGGUCGUAAAGCACUUUUUGCAGGGAAGAGGAAGGACGGUACCUGCAGAAUAAGUCUCGGCUAACUACGUG